rnacentral:misc_RNA from 1 species
AGAACGAGCUAUUGAGGGAAAGGAAAGGAGGAAAUUGGAGGAAAGGAAGGUGGAGACAAAGCAAAUAUUGGUUGAGGAGAUUCAGAAGGAGGAACUAAUUCAGAAGAAUUUGGAAAUGGAGGCAAAUAUUGCCGAUGUGGACACCGAUGAUGAAGUCAAUGAGGCAGAGGAGUAUGAGGCUUGGAAGGUGAGAGAGAUUGCAAGGAUCAAAAGGGAUAGAGAUGAUCGUGAGGCAAUGUUGAAGGAGAAAGAAGAGAUUGAGAAGGUGAGAAACAUGACAGAUGAAGAGAGGAGGGAGUGGGAGAGGAAAAAUCCGAAACCUGCCGCACUACCAAAGCAGAAGUGGAGGUUCAUGCAGAAAUACUACCAUAAGGGUGCUUUCUUCCAGAAUGAGGCUGAUGAUACUGCUGCCACUACUGGGUCAGAUUCAAUUUACAAGCGUGAUUUCUCCGCCCCAACUGGAGAAGAUAAGAUGGACAAAUCCAUAUUACCUAAAGUUAUGCAAGUCAAACACUUCGGCCGUAGUGGAAGAACCAAAUGGACGCAUCUUGUCAAUGAGGAUACAACUGAUUGGAACAACCCGUGGACGCACAAUGAUUCUCUUCGUGCGAAGUACAAUGGAAAAAUGGCCGGAAUGAAUGCACCUAUAAGUAGACCUAGAGGAAGCAAGAAGUUGAAGGAUUGGGAUGUCUGAUAAAUUUUGUCAGUGUAGUCGUCUCCAGCCCAAAUCAUUCUAGCUCCUGUCUUUUACUGGAGAUAUUAAAAGGGAUCUAAAUU